UACGUAGGGUGCGAGCGUUGUCCGGAAUUAUUGGGCGUAAAGGGCUCGUAGGCGGUUUGUCGCGUCGGGAGUGAAAUCCACUGGCUUAACUGGUGGCUUGCUUUCGAUACGGGCAGACUGGAGGUAUGCAGGGGAGAACGGAAUUCCUGGUGUAGCGGUGAAAUGCGCAGAUAUCAGGAGGAACACCGGUGGCGAAGGCGGUUCUCUGGGCCAUUACUGACGCUGAGGAGCGAAAGCGUGGGGAGCGAACAGG
rnacentral:rRNA from 1 species